rnacentral:rRNA from 1 species
UACGUAGGGGACGAGCGUUAUUCGGAUUUACUGGGCGUAAAGCGCGUUAAGGCGGAUUUGUAAGUUGGUGGUGAAAGUUCAGGGCUCAACUCUGAAAGUGCUGCCAAUACUGCGGAUCUAGAGUGUGAGAGAGGAAAGUGGAAUUCCCGGUGUAGUAGUGAAAUGCGUAGAUAUCGGGAGGAACACCAGUGGCGAAGGCGGCUUUCUGGCUCACAACUGACGCUGUAGCGCGAAAGCGUGGGGAGCGAACGGA